UACGUAGGGGGCAAGCGUUGCUCGGAAUCACUGGGCGUAAAGCGCACGUAGGCGGAUUGCUAAGUCAGGGGUGAAAUCCUGGAGCUCAACUCCAGAACUGCCCUUGAUACUGGCGAUCUCGAGUUCGGGAGAGGUGAGUGGAACUGCGAGUGUAGAGGUGAAAUUCGUAGAUAUUCGCAAGAACACCAGUGGCGAAGGCGGCUCACUGGCCCGAUACUGACGCUGAGGUGCGAAAGCGUGGGGAGCAAACAGG
rnacentral:rRNA from 1 species